CGCCUGUUUAACAAAAACAUGUCCUUUAGAAUUUAAUUGAAGGUCUAACCUGCCCAGUGAUGAUUUUAACGGCCGCGGUAUACUGACCGUGCAAAGGUAGCAUAAUCAUUAGUCUUUUAAUAGAGGGCUGGUAUGAAAGGUUUGACGAGGGGCUAGCUGUCUCAUUUUAUUUGUUUUAAAAUUUAAUUUUUUAGUUAAAAAGCUAAAAUUUUAUUGGAAGACGAGAAGACCCUAUAGAUCUUUAUAUAGAUUAAUAUAGAAGAACAUAUAUCAUAUUUAUAUAUUAUUCUGUAUUUUGUUGGGGUGACAAAAAUAAAUAACAAACUUUUUUAUUUAUCAACCAUUGAUUUAUGAAUAUUAGAUCCAUUAUUAGUGAUUAUUAGAUUAAGUUACCUUNGGGAUAACAGCG
rnacentral:rRNA from 1 species